rnacentral:rRNA from 1 species
GUGGGGAAUAUUGGGCAAUGGGCGAAAGCCUGACCCAGCAACGCCGCGUGAAGGAAGAAGGUCUUCGGAUUGUAAACUUCUUUGAUCAGGGACGAAAGAAAUGACGGUACCUGAAGAACAAGCCACGGCUAACUACGUGCCAGCAGCCGCGGUAAUACGUAGGUGGCAAGCGUUAUCCGGAUUUACUGGGUGUAAAGGGCGUGUAGGCGGUUCUGCAAGUCAGAUGUGAAAUUCCCGGGCUUAACCCGGGCGCUGCAUCUGAAACUGCAGAACUUGAGUACUGGAGAGGAUAGCGGAAUUCCUAGUGUAGCGGUAAAAUGCGUAGAUAUUAGGAGGAACACCAGUGGCGAAGGCGGCUAUCUGGACAGUAACUGACGCUGAGGCGCGAAAGCGUGGGGAGCAAACAGGAUUAGAAACCCGUGUAGUCC